rnacentral:tRNA from 1 species
AGAUUAAUAGCUUAAAGCAAUUUCAUUGUUAAUGAAUAGAAGUUUUUAUAGAUUAAUAGG